rnacentral:rRNA from 1 species
UGGGGAAUUUUGCGCAAUGGGCGAAAGCCUGACGCAGCGACGCCGCGUGGGUGUUGAAGGCCUUCGGGUUGUAAAGCCCUGUGGGGAGGGAAGAAUAAGGGGCGGCUAAUACCCGCACCGAUGACGGUACCUCCUUAGCAAGCACCGGCUAACUCUGUGCCAGCAGCCGCGGUAAGACAGAGGGUGCAAACGUUGUUCGGAAUUACUGGGCGUAAAGCGCAUGUAGGCGGUCUAGCAAGUCGGAUGUGAAAGCCCUUGGCUCAACUGAGGAAGUGCAUUCGAAACUGCGAGACUUGAGUCCCGGAGAGGAUGGUGGAAUUCUCGGUGUAGAGGUGAGAUUCGUAGAUAUCGAGAGGAACACCGGUGGCGAAGGCGGCCAUCUGGACGGUGACUGACGCUGAGACGCGAAAGCAUGGGGAGCAAACAG